rnacentral:rRNA from 1 species
UACGGAGGUUGCAAGCGUUAUCCGGAUUUAUUGGGUUUAAAGGGUGCGUAGGCGGGACGAUAAGUCAGUGGUGAAAACCUGCAGCUUAACUGUAGAACUGCCAUUGAUACUGUCGUUCUUGAGUAUAGUUGAGGUGGGCGGAAUGUGUAGUGUAGCGGUGAAAUGCUUAGAUAUUACACAGAACACCGAUUGCGUAGGCAGCUCACUAAACUAAAACUGACGCUGAGGCACGAAAGCGUGGGGAUCAAACAGG